AGAAUCAACGCUGGCGGCGUGCCUCAGACAUGCAAGUCGAACGAUUAAAAGCUCUCUUCGGAGAGUGUAUAGAGUGGCGCACGGGUGAGUAACACGUAAGUAAUCUACCUUUGAGUGGGGAAUAACGUCCGGAAACGGACGCUAAUACCGCAUAAUGCAGCGGCAUCGCAAGAUGACAGUUGUUAAAGAUUUAUCGCUUGAAGAGGAGCUUGCGGCAGUAUUAGCUUGUUGGUAAGGUAACGGCUUACAAGCUACGAUCUGUAACCGGUCUAAGAGGACGGUCGGUCACACUGACACUGAAGUAACCGGGUCAGACUACCGUACGGGAGGCACGCAGGUCGGUAGUUUUGGGACAAGUGGGACGAAAGCCUAGACCCAGCAACGCCG
rnacentral:rRNA from 1 species